AUGAAAUCCUUGAGAGUUCUACUAGCCAUCCUGGGGAUUCAUUUAAGCUGGGUGAGGAGCCAACAGAAGGAGGUGGAGCAGAAUCCUGAAUUUCUCUCUGUUUCUGAGGAAGCCGUGGCCUCUCUCAACUGUUCUUACAGCAACAGUGCUAAUCAGUACUUCAUGUGGUACAGACAAUAUUCCGGGAAAGGCCCUGAGUUGCUGGUGUCCAUAUACUCGAAUGGUGACAAAACAAAAGGAAGGUUUACAGCACAGCACAAUAAAGCCAGCAAGUAUGUCUCCCUGGUCAUCAGAGACUCCCAGCUCAGUGACUCAGCCACCUACCUCUGUGCAGUCAGCACACAGUGCUCCCCAGGCACCUGCAGCCUGUAG